rnacentral:rRNA from 1 species
UACAGAGGGUGCGAGCGUUAAUCGGAAUUACUGGGCGUAAAGCGUGCGUAGACGGUUAUUUAAGUCGGGUGUGAAAGCCCCGGGCUCAACCUGGGAAUUGCAUUCGAGACUGUGUAGCUAGGGUGCGGAAGAGGGAAGCGGAAUUUCCGGUGUAGCGGUGAAAUGCGUAGAUAUCGGAAGGAACAUCAGUGGCGAAAGCGGCUUCCUGGUCCAGCACCGACGUCAGGCACGAAAGCGUGGGGAGCAAACAGG